UAUCGCCUACGGGGGGCAGCAGUGGGGAAUAUUGCACAAUGGGGGAAACCCUGAUGCAGCGACGCCGCGUGAGUGAAGAAGUAAUUCGUUACGUAAAGCUCUAUCAGCAGGGAAGAAAAUGACGGUACCUGACCAAGAAGCCCCGGCUAACUACGUGCCAGCAGCCGCGGUAAUACGUAGGGGGCAAGCGUUAUCCGGAAUUACUGGGUGUAAAGGGAGCGUAGACGGCUGUGCAAGUCUGGAGUGAAAGGCGGGGGCCCAACCCCCGGACUGCUCUGGAAACUGUAUGGCUG
rnacentral:rRNA from 1 species